rnacentral:tRNA from 1 species
GUUCUCAUCGUCUAAUGGUUAGGAUGCGGCCUUCUCAAGGCUGAGAUCGGAGUUCAAUUCUCCGUGGGAAUACCA